rnacentral:rRNA from 1 species
GACGAACGCUGGCGGCGUGCUUAACACAUGCAAGUCGAACGGUAAGGCCCUUCGGGGUACACGAGUGGCGAACGGGUGAGUAACACGUGGGUGAUCUGCCCUGCACUUCGGGAUAAGCCUGGGAAACUGGGUCUAAUACCGGAUAGGACUCCUGGCUUCAUGGUUGGGGGUGGAAAGCUUUUGCGGUGUGGGAUGGGCCCGCGGCCUAUCAGCUUGUUGGUGGGGUAAUGGCCUACCAAGGCGACGACGGGUAGCCGGCCUGAGAGGGUGACCGGUCACACUGGGACUGAGAUACGGCCCAGACUCCUACGGGAGGCAGCAGUGGGGAAUAUUGCACAAUGGGCGCAAGCCUGAUGCAGCGACGCCGCGUGAGGGAUGACGGCCUUCGGGUUGUAAAGCUCUGUCUUCGGGGACGAUAAUGACGGUACCCGAGGAGGAAGCCACGGCUAACUACGUGCCAGCCGCCGCCGUAA